ensembl:ncRNA R10D12.18 ncRNA
UCAUAGCGAACCAAACUCGACUCGAAAAAUUUGAUAUUAUGGCACGACGAGUUCAAAUGAGUGGAUCGAACUCCUCCGAACGUUAGGAAUCCAAUGUAAAUUCGCGCAAAGAGAGUACAAUUGUGGAUACAGGCCCAACUGACCCACGAUUGUGCAAUGUUUCCAUCACUAUCACUCCAAGAUCUAAGAAGUUCCCAAGAUUCGCUGGAUCCCACGAUUGCGAGUUCAAAUUGACGAACGACUCGGAGUAUUCUACUCGUUUCGAAGCAUGGUGGAGAGCGCCGGAGAUCACGAUCAAUACGGAUGGAGGAUUGCUUGAAAGUGGAGAGGAACGCACCAUCACUGUCACCCAAAUUGCUCAAUCUAAGAAGCGUAAGAAGAUCCAUAUCAAAUUGUUCGUAUAUUGGAAUGGGAACUAAGCCGAACGCCUUCUGCUCAAGACUGUCAAAUUUUCAGUGACUAUUAAAUAAAGACUAU